rnacentral:rRNA from 1 species
CUAUACUGCAAGUUCGAGCCGGACAGGAUGGGAGCUUGCUCCCUGAUGUUAGCGGCGGACGGGUGAGUAACACGUGGGUAACCUGCCUGUAAGACUGGGAUAACUCCGGGAAACCGGGGCUAAUACCGGAUGGUUGUUUGAACCGCAUGGUUCAAACAUAAAAGGUGGCUUCGGCUACCACUUACAGAUGGACCCGCGGCGCAUUAGCUAGUUGGUGAGGUAAUGGCUCACCAAGGCAACGAUGCGUAGCCGACCUGAGAGGGUGAUCGGCCACACUGGGACUGAGACACGGCCCAGACUCCUACGGGAGGCAGCAGUAGGGAAUCUUCCGCAAUGGACGAAAGUCUGACGGAGCAACGCCGCGUGAGUGAUGAAGGUUUUCGGAUCGUAAAGCUCUGUUGUUAGGGAAGAACAAGUACCGUUCGAAUAGGGCGGUACCUUGACGGUACCUAACCAGAAAGCCACGGCUAACUACGUGCCAGCAGCCGCGGUAAUACGUAGGUGGCAAGCGUUGUCCGGAAUUAUUGGGCGUAAAGGGCUCGCAGGCGGUUUCUUAAGUCUGAUGUGAAAGCCCCCGGCUCAACCGGGGAGGGUCAUUGGAAACUGGGGAACUUGAGUGCA